rfam:Camelus ferus unplaced genomic scaffold scaffold633, whole genome shotgun sequence.
GAGGGUAUAGCUCCAGUGGUAGAGCACAUGCUUAACAUGCAGGAGGCCCUGAGUUCAAUCCCUAGUACCUCCU